AACCAGCACCUCAAGUGGUCAGGAUGAUUAUUGGGGCCUAAAGCAUCCGUAGCCGGCUCUGUAAGUUUUCGGUUAAAUCUGUACGCUUAACGUACAGGCUGCCGGGAAUACUGCAGAGCUAGGUAGUGGGAGAGGUAGACGGUACUCGGUAGGAAGGGGUAAAAUCCUUUGAUCUAUUGAUGACCACCUGUGGCGAAGGCGGUCUACCAGAACACGUACGACGGUGAGGGAUGAAAGCUGGGGGAGCAAACCGGAUUAGAUACCCGAGUAGUCCCAGCUGUAAACUAUGCAAACUCAGUGAUGCAUUGGCUUGUGGCCAAUGCAGUGCUGCAGGGAAGCCGUUAAGUUUGCCGCCUGGGAAGUACGUACGCAAGUAUGAAACUUAAAGGAAUUGGCGGGGGAGCACCACAAGGGGUGAAGCCUGCGGUUCAAUUGGAGUCAACGCCAGAAAUCUUACCCGGAGAGACAGCAGAAUGAAGGUCAAGCUGAAGACUUUACCAGACAAGCUGAGAGGUGGUGCAUGGCCGUCGCCAGCUCGUGCCGUGAGAUGUCCUGUUAAGUCAGGUAACGAGCGAGAUCCCUGCCUCUAGUUGCCACCAUUACUCUCAGGAGUAGUGGGGCGAAUUAGCGGGACCGCCGCAGUUAAUGCGGAGGAAGGAAGGGGCCACGGCAGGUCAGUAUGCCCCGAAACUCUGGGGCCACACGCGGGCUGCAAUGGUAACGACAAUGGGUUUCGAAUUCGAAAGGAUGAGGUAAUCCUCAAACGUUACCACAGUUAUGACUGAGGGCUGCAACUCGCCCUCACGAAUAUGGAAUCCCUAGUAACUGCGUGUCACUAUCGCGCGGUGAAUACGUCCCUGCUCCU
rnacentral:rRNA from 1 species